rnacentral:lncRNA from 1 species
AGCAUUUCAGGUAUGUCUAAGUUACAGUGUCUUGUGUACUCAAAGGAACUACAUCAUAUAUCUGUUAGUAAUGACCAGAGCAUAAAGUAACACAUCAUUUAACAAAACAUCAAAAUUGGAGUAGAUACAUAAGGACUUAUAAUUGUUGAUAAAGUUUAUAAAGUCACAAUAAGUUCGUUUACGAAAUUGAACUAUCUGAGCUGAUGAAAAUUCAGAGGACAAC